rnacentral:tmRNA from 1 species
GGGGGCGACCUGGCUUCGACGUAGGUUGCGAAACCUGAAGUGCAUGCCGAGAAUGAGCACUCUCGUAAAUCAGUCUCAAUUAAAUAUAAAUGCAAAUAAUCAAAACUUCAACUUAGGAUCUGAACAAGCUGCGCAAGCUGCUUAAUCAGCUAUUAAGUUACCGUGCACUGCCAUAAAACCAGUGCCCCAUUGCCCGAGCUCGCUUACUGGUAUCGGUCCAAUGGUCAUAAGAGGUAAGCUCGCAGAUGAAUUUAUUCCUGAUUUGUCUGUUAAACUUUAGGAAUUCGCCAUGUUCGAUCCUGCCUGUCGGAGAGGUCGUGGUUAAAUUAAAUGAUUAGGCUACGCAUGUAGAUCGGAUGGCAGAGGAUUUGCGGACGCGGGUUCGAUUCCCGCCGCCUCCACCA